rnacentral:snoRNA from 1 species
GCUGAAGUGGUUUUACAGAUCAUUUCGGAUAUUGAGCGUGCUACAUAAAUAUCAAGGAGUAUGCCAACCAUUCUUUCGUGUCACUAUGGAAUCGAUAUAUCCUUCUUAAAUGCCAAAGUCAGCUUACUGAUAUCAGUUAUUUCAUACCAGCUAGAUUAAGUAUUUUAUGAAACCCUAGCUAUGACAUAAUGCGCUCAAACGCUGCACAUAUCAGUUUACCAAAAAC